rnacentral:rRNA from 1 species
CCUACGGGAGGCAGCAGUGGGGAAUCUUCCGCAAUGGGCGAAAGCCUGACGGAGCAACGCCGCGUGAGUGAAGAAGGCCUUCGGGUUGUAAAACUCUGUCUUCAGGGAAGAAAGAGAUGACGGUACCUGAGGAGGAAGCCACGGCUAACUACGUGCCAGCAGCCGCGGUAAUACGUAGGUGGCAAGCGUUGUCCGGAAUUACUGGGCGUAAAGAGCGCGUAGGCGGGGAUUUAAGUCAGGAGUGAAAACUGCGGGCUCAACCUGCAGCCUGCUCUUGAAACUGGAUUUCUUGAGGGUAUGAGAGGAAAGCGGAAUUCCCAGUGUAGCGGUGAAAUGCGUAGAUAUUGGGAGGAACACCAGUGGCGAAGGCGGCUUUCUGGCAUACAACUGACGCUGAGGCGCGAAAGCGUGGGGAGCGAACGGGAUUAGAUCCCCCUGUAGU